rnacentral:rRNA from 1 species
UACGAAGGGGGCGAGCGUUGUUCGGAAUUAUUGGGCGUAAAGAGCUCGUAGGCGGUCUGUCGCGUCGGCUGUGAAAUCCCGAGGCUCAACCUCGGGUCUGCAGUCGAUACGGGCAAACUAGAGUAUUGCAGGGGAGACUGGAAUUCCCGGUGUAGCGGUGAAAUGCGCAGAUAUCAGGAGGAACACCGGUGGCGAAGGCGGGUCUCUGGGCAAUAACUGACGCUGAGGAGCGAAAGCGUGGGGAGCGAACAGG